rnacentral:rRNA from 1 species
UUUACCUAGAGUUUUGUAGACUUCGGUCUGCUACCUCUUACCCAUGUCUUUUGAGUACCUUCGUUUCCUCGGCGGGUCCGCCCGCCGAUUGGACAACAUUCAAACCCUUUGCAGUUGCAAUCAGCGUCUGAAAAAACAUAAUAGUUACAACUUUCAACAACGGAUCUCUUGGUUCUGGCAUCGAUGAAGAACGCAGCGAAAUGCGAUAAGUAGUGUGAAUUGCAGAAUUCAGUGAAUCAUCGAAUCUUUGAACGCACAUUGCGCCCCUUGGUAUUCCAUGGGGCAUGCCUGUUCGAGCGUCAUUUGUACCUUCAAGCUCUGCUUGGUGUUGGGUGUUUGUCUCGCCUCUGCGUGUAGACUCGCCUUAAAACAAUUUUCAGCCGGCGUAUUGAUUUCGGAGCGCAGUACAUCUCCCGCCUUUUCACUCACAACGACGACGUCCAAAAGUACAUUUUUACACUUCUGACCUCGGAUCAGGUAGGAGCCGAACCC